UGAUCAACCAUGUCACCAGAGUACAUAUGAUGAAGCAUAUCACUCACCUCUUGGACAGAGAGGUAUAGAUCUCUCUGGUGAAGAAAAUCAACCAACACAAGUUAUCACCUUCUCUGUAACUUGGAGUCAUAGAGAGUUACCUAGAACAUUAAAAAGUUUCAGAUUCUAUCCUUCUCUCCAAGUUCCUCCUCCAUCCAUUGGGAAAGCAAGAAAUUCCAUAAUCAUUACACAUAUGAAGUCAUGCAAAACAUAUUUCUGCAUCAGCUAUGGU